rnacentral:RNase_P_RNA from 1 species
UUGGGAGGGUGGAGGAUCGCUUCCGGCGCAAGCCGGGGGAGGAAAGUCCGAACACCACAGGGCGCGAUGCCGCGUAACUCCGGUUCAGCCGGAGAUACACGCGGGAGGCGACGGCGUGAGUCGUCCCGACGGAGAGUGCCACAGAAAACAGACAGCCACGGUUGCGGCAACGCAAUCGGGGUGAUGGUGAAAAGGUGCGGUAAGAGCGCACCGCGCGGAGCGCAAGCGACGCGGCACGGAAAACCCCAUCGGGUGCAAGGCCAAAUAGAGAACUCCGGGGCUGCCCGCCCCAUGUUCCGCGAAAGCGGGACGGGUUCCGGGUACUGGCUGCUCAGACAAAUGAUUCUCUCCCGUGGAGAAAUCCAUGGCAGACAGAAUUCGGCUUACAGCCCUCUCAAAACC